rnacentral:piRNA from 1 species
UGAAUUUGGUUUCCAUUCGGUUGAGAGUU